AUUGAACGCUGGCGGCAGGCCUAACACAUGCAAGUCGAGCGGCAGCACUUCGGGUGGCGAGCGGCGAACGGGUGAGUAAUACAUGGGAAUCUGCCCAGUAGUGGGGGAUAACUUCGGGAAACUGGAGGUAAUACCGCAUACGUCCUACGGGAGAAAGCAGGGGAUCGCAAGACCUUGCGCUAUUGGAGGAGCCCAUGUCCGAUUAGCUAGUUGGUGAGGUAAAGGCUCACCAAGGCAACGAUCGGUAACUGGUCUGAGAGGAUGGUCAGUCACACUGGAACUGAGACACGGUCCAGACUCCUACGGGAGGCAGCAGUGGGGAAUAUUGGACAAUGGGGGCAACCCUGAUCCAGCCAUGCCGCGUGUGUGAAGAAGGCCUUCGGGUUGUAAAGCACUUUAAGCAGGGAGGAAGGCUCGUACGUUAAUACCGUGCGGGAGUGACGUUACCUGCAGAAUAAGCACCGGCAAACUCCGUGCCAGCCGCCGCCGUAA
rnacentral:rRNA from 1 species